rnacentral:misc_RNA from 1 species
AAGUCGUAACAAGGUUUCCGUAGGUGAACCUGCGGAAGGAUCAUUAAUAUAUAACUUUAAAUUAUUGGCUUCAAACCCAAUAUAUGCACAUGCACCUGUGAACUUUACCGUCUCUGACAAUGCGGAUCCUGUGAAUGUCAAAGUUCCGGGAAACAUGUUGUUAGUUAUACCUUUUUUAUUUGUAUUAUGUUUUCUUCUAGUCGUAAAUUAUUUAUAAAAGUAAAUUCUAACAACUUUUGACAACGGAUCUCUUGGUUCUC